rnacentral:rRNA from 1 species
AGUGAACGCUGGCGGUAGGCCUAACACAUGCAAGUCGAACGGCAGCACAGUAAGAGCUUGCUCUUACGGGUGGCGAGUGGCGGACGGGUGAGGAAUACAUCGGAAUCUACUUUUUCGUGGGGGAUAACGUAGGGAAACUUACGCUAAUACCGCAUACGACCUACGGGUGAAAGCAGGGGAUCUUCGGACCUUGCGCGAUUGAAUGAGCCGAUGUCGGAUUAGCUAGUUGGCGGGGUAAAGGCCCACCAAGGCGACGAUCCGUAGCUGGUCUGAGAGGAUGAUCAGCCACACUGGAACUGAGACACGGCCCAGCCUCCUACGGGAGGCAGCAGUGGGGAAUAUUGGACAAUGGGCGCAAGCCUGAUCCAGCCAUACCGCGGGGGUGAAGAAGGCCUUCGGGUUGUAAAGCCCUUUUGUUGGGAAAGAAAAGCAGCAGGUUAAUACCCCGCUGUUCUGACGGUACCCAAAAAAUAAGCACCGGCUAACUUCGU